GUUAUGUUCUUGAACUCAAAGAAUUUGGCGGUAUUCCUUACCUUUCAGAGGAAUCUGCUCCGUUAUUGAUGAUCCGCGUUGGACCUUACUUGAUUUAUUUGUUUGUAUACCGCCGUUGUAAUGAAGAUCUUUUUAGUGUUUUUAAUUUUCUAAUAUCAUUAUUUUGUUUUAUUUCAGGUCAAGGUGCAGCUUAUUUUUAAGUGUGAAGUGGAUUACAUUGUGUUGUUGGAAUUUUGGAUUAUUGUUUGUAAUUUCUGGUAUGAAAUUGGAUUUGAUUGUAAUUUAUUGAAGAUUGUUUUGAUGAUAUUGGUUCUGGAGUAUGUACACAUCGCCCGUCGCUC
rnacentral:rRNA from 1 species